UGACAGGACUCGGAGCCCUGUGGAGGCGUCAGCUCAGCAUGAGACUGGAGCGGAGCGCCACGCACACUGACACUGGCUGUGGAGAGGAGCCAGGCCGCCAUUACUUGGAACAGUCAUCCGGAAGGAUCAGUCAUCGACUAGGAGACAAAAGACCCACAGCAUAGCAAGCAGGUGUCUUUUUUUUGGAGAAAUUAUCCAGAGUUUGUUUGUAGGCAAUUAGCCUUUUUUUAUUUUGGAUUUAUCUGCAAGUGACUUGACAUUUAUU